rnacentral:rRNA from 1 species
GACAGAGGGGCCAAGCGUUAGGCGGAAUCACUGGGCUUAAAGCGUGUGUAGGCGGUCUUGUAAGUACCUUGUGAAAUCCCACGGCUCAACCGUGGAACUGCUUGGUAUACUGCUUGUCUUGAGCCACUUAGGGGCUACCGGAACAAAUGGUGGAGCGGUGAAAUGCGUAGAUAUCGGAAGGAACACCGGUGGCGAAAGCGGCGCGCUGGACCUCUUCUGACGCUGAGGCGCGAAAGCCAGGGGAGCGAACAGG